rnacentral:rRNA from 1 species
GACGAACGCUGGCGGCGUGCCUAAUACAUGCAAGUAGAACGCUGAAGGAGGAGCUUGCUUCUCUGGAUGAGUUGCGAACGGGUGAGUAACGCGUAGGUAACCUGCCUGGUAGCGGGGGAUAACUAUUGGAAACGAUAGCUAAUACCGCAUAAUAGUAGAUGUUGCAUGACAUUUGCUUAAAAGGUGCAAUUGCAUCACUACCAGAUGGACCUGCGUUGUAUUAGCUAGUUGGUGGGGUAACGGCUCACCAAGGCGACGAUACAUAGCCGACCUGAGAGGGUGAUCGGCCACACUGGGACGGAGACACGGCCCAGACUCCUACGGGAGGCAGCAGUAGGGAAUCGUCGGCAAUGGACGGAAGUCUGACCGAGCAACGCCGCGUGAGUGAAGAAGGUUUUCGGAUCGUAAAGCUCGGUUGUAAGAGAAGAACGAGUGUGAGAGUGGAAAGUUCACACUGUGACGGUAUCUUACCAGAAAGGGACGGCUAACUACGUG